rnacentral:lncRNA from 1 species
GUGGUGCCUCUUUUUGUGCAGAACAUUAGCCUGAGCAGUGCAUGUGCAGAAGGCAUACAGUGUGCGCAGCUGCCAAUUGAUGAAUUUAUGGAGCGCUGUGGGGGUACAGGAUGCAAGAUUCUUACUGUCAACCAGGUGUUUGACAUCUUGUUGAGUGUACACGAGACUCAAGGGGACUGGGCCAACUCUUUGGCAAAAGUUAUUCCAAAAAGGACAGGUCUUAGAAAGAAGCAGUCUUCCUGACAGACUGUGAAGCAAUGAUUGAAGUCUAGAAAAGAAUGUUCAUUAUGCACAUCACAUUUCCUCUGGGAAGUUGUUUUUGUUGGCCUGUAUGGUUUUACCUUUGUGAUGUAAAUAGUAGUAUAUAAUAGAUAGGUUGUGAAGGAAUAUUGGACAAAUACCCAAAUAUAUGUCUGAUCAUUA